UACAGAGGUCUCAAGCGUUGUUCGGAUUCAUUGGGCGUAAAGGGUGCGUAGGUGGCGGGGUAAGUCAGGUGUGAAAUUUCGGAGCUUAACUCCGAAACUGCAUUUGAUACUGCCUUGCUUGAGGACUGGAGAGGAGACUAGAAUUCACGGUGUAGCAGUGAAAUGCGUAGAGAUCGUGAGGAAGACCAGUGGCGAAGGCGGGUCUCUGGACAGUUCCUGACACUGAGGCACGAAGGCCAGGGGAGCAAACGGG
rnacentral:rRNA from 1 species